rnacentral:rRNA from 1 species
AUUGAACGCUGGCGGCAUGCUCUACACAUGCAAGUCGAACGGUAACAGGCCGCAAGGUGCUGACGAGUGGCGCACGGGUGAGUAAUGCAUCGGAACGUGCCCAGUCGUGGGGGAUAACUACUCGAAAGAGUAGCUAAUACCGCAUACGAUCUAUGGAUGAAAGCGGGGGACCGUAAGGCCUCACGCGAUUGGAGCGGCCGAUGUCAGAUUAGGUAGUUGGUGGGGUAAAGGCUCACCAAGCCAACGAUCUGUAGCUGGUCUGAGAGGACGACCAGCCACACUGGGACUGAGACACGGCCCAGACUCCUACGGGAGGCAGCAGUGGGGAAUUUUGGACAAUGGGCGCAAGCCUGAUCCAGCAAUGCCGCGUGCAGGAAGAAGGCCUUCGGGUUGUAAACUGCUUUUGUACGGAACGAAACGGCUCUGGUUAAUACCCGGGGCUAAUGACGGUACCGUAAGAAUAAGCACCGGCUAACUACGUG